UUUAUUUUCCUCCUUACAGCAGAAGCCUCACACAGCCCAGUAACUUUGCUAGUACCUCUUGAGUGCAAGGUAUAGAAUUAAGAUCUGGAUUUGAGACGGAGCACAGAACAGUUCACUCAGGGGAAGAGCUAUGAACAUUGCCAGCCUGCUGAUGGCAAUCAUAGCCUCCAUCUGUCUUGGAUCCAGCAUGACUCAGAAGGUAACUCAAGCUCAGACUGAAAUUUCUGUGGUGGAGAAUGAGGAUGUGACCUUGGACUGUGUGUAUGAAAGCCGUGGUACUACUUAUUACUUAUUCUGGUACAAGCAACCGCCAAGUGGAGAAUUGGUUUUCCUUAUUCGUCAGAACUCUUUUAAUGAGCAAAAUGAAAUAAAUGGUCGGUAUUCUUGGAACUUCCAGAAAUCCACCAGUUCCUUCAACCUCACCAUCACAGCCUCACAAGUCAUGGACUCAGCAGUAUACUUCUGUGCUCUGAGGGGGGAGCCCAGAAGCUGGUAUUUGGCCAAGGAACCAGGCUGACCAUCAACCCAAGUAAGUAUGACAGGGUGAAGCUACAUGCAGCUGAGUACAGUCUUUUCCUUUCUAGACCAUGUCCUGCAAGCUCUCCUUG